UACGUAGGGUGCGAGCGUUAAUCGGAAUUACUGGGCGUAAAGCGUGCGCAGGCGGUGGCUCAAGCCAGGCGUGAAAUCCCCGGGCUUAACCUGGGAACUGCAUUGGUGACUGGCGGGCUAGAGUAUGGCAGAGGGGGGUAGAAUUCCACGUGUAGCAGUGAAAUGCAUAGAGAUGCGGAGGAACACCGAUGGCGAAGGCAGCCCCCUGGGUCGACACUGACGCUCAGGCACGAAAGCGUGGGGAGCAAACAGG
rnacentral:rRNA from 1 species